rnacentral:rRNA from 1 species
AGCGAACGCUGGCGGCAGGCCUAACACAUGCAAGUCGAGCGGCCGUAGCAAUACGGCAGCGGCAGACGGGAGAGUAACACGUGGGAACGCGCCCUUCGGUUCGGAAUAACUCAGGGAAACUUGGGCUAAUACCGGAUACGCCCUUACGGGGAAAGAUUUAUUGCCGAAGGAACGGCCCGCGUCCGAUUAGCUUGUUGGUGAGGUAACGGCUCACCAAGGCGACGAUCGGUAGCUGGUCUGAGAGAAUGACCAGCCUCACUGGGACUGAGACACGGCCCAGACUCCUACGGGAGGCAGCAGUGGGGAAUAUUGGACAAUGGGCGCAAGCCUGAUCCAGCAAUGCCGCGUGAGUGAAGAAGGCCUUCGGGUUGUAAAGCUCUUUCGAUGGGGACGAUGAUGACGGUACCCAUAGAAGAAGCCCCGGCAAACUUCGUGCCAGCCGCCGCUGUAA